UAGGAAGAGCCAGCUCUGCAGCCCAC
rnacentral:piRNA from 1 species